CAAGAACUGGGGCCAGACCACCGGAUGCAAAUGCAAGAGACAAAAGUUGAAGGAAUUCAUUACCAUCAAACCUGCACUGGAAGAAAUGUUAAGGACUGUGCUUUGAACAGAAGACAAAUUAUGAAAAAGGGAAUCCUGAAGAUGAUCCUGGGAAACCUGAGCUCCUACAUAUUCUUGGACAAUAGCUGUGAUCAUAGAAAUUUUAGAUGUUCUUGAGAAGAUGUGACAGAAAAGCUACCAAGACUACAAAAUUUAAAGACAAGCCAUCAAGACUGCAAAAUAGUCUGGAGAGAUGAAUUCAGAGAGCUAAUACACGUAAAUACAGUGCUCAUU